AGUGUAUUGUUGUUUACAAAUCUGUAAAUGUAUUUCUAAAUUAAUUUAUCCUUCUGUAUUCCUUACUGUUACACACACACACACACACACACACAUUGUUAUUGUAUUUUGAUUAUUUUAAUUGUGGUAUUUUUUUUUUCAUAAUUGCUUUUCCCAUAUUUAUUUUUCCAUUCAUUUAUUUCAGAUCUGCUCCUCCUACCAUAUAGCAUUCCACCUUCACAGAAGCUCCUCCUCCAGCAGAUCAGCAAUAAAUGCUGGAACAUUUUCCCAUUUGUCUACAAGUAAAGAAAGCAUUUAUCAAAGAGACUGAGAACAUGAGUGAUCCAGGACUCUGCAGAAUAAAACAUGAAGAUACUGAAGAACAAAGAGAUCUGCUCCUACCAUGUAACAAUUCACCUUCACGGAAGCUCCUCGCCCAGCAGAUCAGCAAUAAAUGUGAAGAAGAAAGCAUUUAUGAAAGAAUAUGGAGGAAAUGAGUGAUCCAGAACCCUGCAGAAUAAAACAUGAAGAUACUGAAGAACAAAGAGGUUGGCGUUUUUCUUGAUUCUAUAUUAUUUCUGAAGAACAGCAGUUAAUCAGUUUAGUGUUGCAGUGUUUUAGAAAACAAUAGGAGCUGUGAAAUAACGGUUAUAGUAAAAAUAAAAUACAAGACACUUUCCAUGAACUGAUUACAAAUGGAACCUGACACUUGAAUUUCUUUUGUUUUCUAAAAAAUCAGUGAAAAGAGGUUUAAGAAUAUUCAUUAUCUAUAUCAGGAACUCUGACUAAACACUAUCUAACUUUAUUUUAUUUAUAUUUAUUUUAUGUCUGGUUCACAAUUUUUGCAAACAUGUUACUAAACUUUUAAACAUCUUACACCUCAGGACUCUAGAAAUGAACAGAAAAUAUCAAAAUAAAACAAAAUGUAUCAAAUAAAUAAACUUUGCUAGAACUUAGUGUAAAUUGUGUAAAUUAACCUAAUUCUAAUUUAUAGUUACUGAUGAACUUGGUUUAGUUUUUUUUUAUGGUAACAGAAUUGAUAAAUGCACUCAAUACUAUACAAAUGUUUGUAUGCAGUUUUUUGUCCUUUCCCUUAAUAUUUCUCUCUUUGGUUAUUUAUGAUUUACUGAAAAUGAAAGCUUUUCACUGUCAUUUUAGACUUGAUCAAAGAGAAUGAGGAGACUGAAGACCUGAGUGAAGCAGAGGAGAAACAUGUUGAAUCUUUGAGUCACUCACAGACUGAGAACAUUUUUUCCCUGGAAAGAUCAAAAAAAUCUUUAACCUGCCUCCAGUGUGGGAAGAGUUUCACACGUAAAGGAAACCUUAACGAACACAUGAAUAUCCACACUGGAGAGAAGCCGUAUCACUGCCAUCCAUGUGGGAAAAGUUUCACUCAUUGUAGUUCUCUGCUGAGUCAUAAAAAAACCAAAUGUCUGAAAUAAAGUCUGAAUUUAUGUAAAAAUCCAGCUCUUUCAAGUGCAAUGCUGCAAAUGGGACCCAGUCAUUUUGCUUUAUUA
rnacentral:lncRNA from 12 species